UACGUAGGGGGCUAGCGUUGUCCGGAUUUAUUGGGCGUAAAGAGCGUGUAGGCGGCCAUGUAGGUCCGGUGUGAAAACUCGAGGCUUAACCUCGAGAUGUCAUCGGAAACCAUUUGGCUAGAGUCCGGAAGAGGAGAGUGGAAUUCCUGGUGUAGCGGUGAAAUGCGCAGAUAUCAGGAAGAACACCCGUGGCGAAGGCGGCUUUCUGGGACGGUACUGACGCUGAGACGCGAAAGCGUGGGGAGCGAACAGG
rnacentral:rRNA from 1 species